UACGUAGGUGGCAAGCGUUGUCCGGAUUUAUUGGGCGUAAAGGGAACGCAGGCGGUCUUUUAAGUCUGAUGUGAAAGCCUUCGGCUUAACCGGAGAAGUGCAUUGGAAACUGGAAGACUUGAGUGCAGAAGAGGAGAGUGGAACUCCAUGUGUAGCGGUGAAAUGCGUAGAUAUAUGGAAGAACACCAGUGGCGAAAGCGGCUCUCUGGUCUGUAACUGACGCUGAGGUUCGAAAGCGUGGGGAGCGAACAGG
rnacentral:rRNA from 2 species